rnacentral:tRNA from 4 species
GGGCCUGUAGCUCAGUGGUUAGAGCUGACGACUCAUAAUCGUUAGGUCGCGGGUUCGAGUCCCGCCGGGCCCACCA